rnacentral:rRNA from 1 species
GACGAACGCUGGCGUCGUGCUUAACACAUGCCAGUCGAACGGAAAGGCCCUGCUUUUGUGGGGUGCUCGAGUGGCGAACGGGUGAGUAACACGUGAGUAACCUGCCCUUGACUUUGGGAUAACUUCAGGAAACUGGGGCUAAUACCGGAUAGGAGCUCCUGCUGCAUGGUGGGGGUUGGAAAGUUUCGGCGGUUGGGGAUGGACUCGCGGCUUAUCAGCUUGUUGGUGGGGUAGUGGCUUACCAAGGCUUUGACGGGUAGCCGGCCUGGGAGGGUGACCGGCCACAUUGGGACUGAGAGACGGCCCAGACUGCUACGGGAGGCAGCAGUGGGGAAUAUUGCACAAUGGGCGGAAGCCUGAUGCAGCAACGCCGCGUGCGGGAUGACGGCCUUCGGGUUGUAAACCGCUUUCGCCUGUGACGAAGCGUGAGUGACGGUAAUGGGUAAAGAAGCACCGGCUAACUACGUG